rnacentral:rRNA from 1 species
AUGGCGGGAGGGAUUUUCUGUCACAGCCCUGUCGCUAGUUUUUCGCAAGAGCGGGCGGGGGUUUGCUCCCCGACCUCUCGAGGCGUGGAAGCCUCUCCCGGGGAAGAGUCGUGGAAGGGGCGAGGGUGCCCCGAUCUCAUGAGCGCCCAAAUGCAGAGGGGAUAUAUGGCACCAAAAUUCUUGAGAGGGAAAGUCGCAUUCACGUCAGACAUAUACAGUCUUGGCGCUAUCUUCAUGGAGAUACUGACAGGAGAGAGGGAGUAUCCAGAAGAUGAGGAUGUAGUUGAGACUUGGAUAAAUCGGCUGCGGGAAUCAGACCAAUGGGAGACACAGUUGUAUCAAGUAAAAGUAUGCGUGCAGAAAGGGAUAGAGUGCAUGGACUCGAAUCCAAAGAAGAGACCAGUUGCAAGCCGUAUAAAUUAUAGGCUUUAUAAAACGACAAGUACUGUCGAAACCGGCACCAGUAGUUUGCUAGUUGAAAGACGGGAUGGUUUUCUAAAGGAACAUUACUCUAAAGAGAAAAUAGCAAAGCUUUCAUCUGAGUACCUCGGAAAGGACAUCAAGGAACAUGAUGAAACCAAAGAACUUGUGGAAUAUUUUGAUCAUUGGCAGCGAGUUCAAGAAGAAGCUCAAGGUGAUCAAUGGCCAUUCUGGGGAACGCAAGAUGCAAAAAAAAAUGUCAUCCCACAUGGUGCAAGCAUUUCCAGCUCUAGCUCUGGUUUGCUCUACAAGUUGAACAAUCUGGACAUCUUCAACACAAAAGCACGCAGGAACUAUAUGUGGUACGGUGGACGUAUGUUGGAGAAUCCGCCGGAGGCGCGAUGUUCCUCUUCCCCUCCCUCUGCCGCCGCCGGAGGCCAACGGCGGUGGCGGGGGACUCCCUCUCUCCCGCGUCUUAGAGGUGGUGCGAGGCCCCUAAACACGUGGUGGCGCGGCCGAUCCAAUCUAUGUGGCGCGGCGGCGAUGGCUGCGACAGACGACGGCGUGGUGGCUGGCCCUGCCUCGGGCGGCGCCAGCUACAGGCGCGGCGCGUCACUGUACCGGGAAGGGCAGUGGCUACGUAUAGCAGCAGAAUCAUCAAAUGCUCUAGCUUACAUGCAUUCAAGGGCCUUAUGCGUCUUACAUGGUAAUUUUAAACCAUCAAAUACACUCUUUGAUGACAAGUGUGUGCUUAAGAUCUCAGACUUUGGCAUGUCAAGGAUGGUUGCGCAACAUAGUGGAAUAAUCGCUGGUUACAUGGUUUAUAUGGAUCCGACAUAUCUAAAAACAGGCCUGCUGACCGAACAAAGUGAUGUGUAUUGCUUUGGAGUUACCAUCUUGGAGCUUGUUACUAGGAGGAGGGCCACACAUUCUGACAAUAAUAGCUUAGUAACGAAUUUCAUUACGGCCCCGUUCGUAAUCUCUCUGCUCCUCCACUCCGCGGAGUUGGUGGAGCUCGGUCUUUGCAGCUCCGUUAAAGUGAGUAUACCGAGCAGCAUAUAUGUAGCUCAAAGCUAUUAUUCUCCGGUUCAUAGUUUCUGCCCCCUCUGCUUCGUCAUCUGUGGCAUGCCGUGUCCCGGCCACCCCCGGGACCCACCUUCCCAUCCCGCUGCCGACGAGUAUGGCGGCCGGUGGCGAUUAAUCGCGACAGAGUGGCAACGGCGGCCGGCGACUAGUCGUAGCAGCUCCUGGUUGACUGGGUCGGAAGUGGUUGAGCCAGCGUGGGGUAUAGAGGCCAGUGCUAGGCAGGCUGAUCAGGUCAUCGUCGUCGAUCUUCCUCGAAGCUCGCGAGCGCCAGAUCUCAUCGGUCUCUGCUCACCGGCCGCCUGCUUCUACAGGAUUAGUUAA